rnacentral:rRNA from 1 species
CACGUAGGCACCAAGCGUUGUCCGGAUUUAUUGGGCGUAAAGAGCUCGUAGGCGGUCUGUCGCGUCGGCUGUGAAAACCCGGAGCUCAACUCCGGGCCUGCAGUCGAUACGGGCAGACUGGAGUUCGGCAGGGGGAGACUGGAAUUCCUGGUGUAGCGGUGAAAUGCGCAGAUAUCAGGAGGAACACCGGUGGCGAAGGCGGGUCUCUGGGCCGAUGACUGACGUGAGGAGCGAAAAGCGUGGGGAGCGAACAGG